rnacentral:rRNA from 1 species
UACGUAGGGUCCGAGCGUUGUCCGGAAUUAUUGGGCGUAAAGAGCUCGUAGGCGGCUUGUCACGUCGGGUGUGAAAGCCCGGGGCUUAACCCCGGGUCUGCAUUCGAUACGGGCUAGCUAGAGUGUGGUAGGGGAGAUCGGAAUUCCUGGUGUAGCGGUGAAAUGCGCAGAUAUCAGGAGGAACACCGGUGGCGAAGGCGGAUCUCUGG